GCGCUGGUAGUGUAAUGGCAUAGAGCACCUCCUCCUGGUCGGAAGGAGGUGCGGGUUCGAGUCCCGCCUGGCACU
rnacentral:tRNA from 1 species